GCAGCGAAACGCGAUAGUUAAUGUGAAUUGCAGAAUUCAGUGAAUCAUCGAGUCUUUGAACGCACAUUGCGCCCAUUGGUAUUCCAUUGGGCAUGUCUGUUUGAGCGUCAUUACAACCCUCGGUCACCACCGGUUUUGAGCGAGCGAGGUCCCCGGACCCGGCUGGCUUUAAAGUUGUAAGCUCUGCUGGCUGCCAGGCCCGACCAGAACAUAGUAAAACCAUGCUUGUUCACGGUCCGCGGUCGAAGCGGUACGGCCUGAACAAUACCUACCACCUCUCAGGUUUGACCUCAGAUCAGACAAGGAUACCCGCUGAACUUAAGCAUAUCAAUAAGCGGAGGA
rnacentral:rRNA from 1 species